rnacentral:rRNA from 1 species
GACAGAGGGUGCAAACGUUGUUCGGAAUCACUGGGCUUAAAGGGCGCGUAGGCGGGCCAGCCAGUCUGUGGUGAAAGCCUCCAGCUUAACUGGAGAAGUGCCGUGGAUACUGCUGGCCUCGAGGAGGAUAGGGGCAUCUGGAACGGUCGGUGGAGCGGUGAAAUGCGUUGAUAUCGACCGGAACUCCGGUGGCGAAGGCGAGGUGCUGGGUCCUUUCUGACGCUGAUGCGCGAAAGCCAGGGGAGCAAACGGG